GGAGGGUGCAAGCGUUGUUCGGAAUUACUGGGCGUAAAGCGCGCGUAGGCGGUCUUUUAUGUCAGGUGUGAAAGCCCUGGGCCCAACCCAGGAAGUGCGCCUGAAACUGAAAGACUUGAGUACGAGAGAGGAAGGCAGAAUUCCUAGUGUAGAGGUGAAAUUCGUAGAUAUUAGGAGGAACACCAGUUGCGAAAGCGGCUUUCUGGAUCGAUACUGACGCUAAGGCGCGAAAGCGUGGGGAGCAAACAGGGAUUAGAUACCCUGGUAGUCCACGCCGUAAACGAUGGAUACUAGUUGUUGCGGGCUUAUAAACUCGCAGUGACGACGCUAACGCAUUAAGUAUCCCGCCUGGGGAGUACGGCCGCAAGGUUA
rnacentral:rRNA from 1 species